rnacentral:rRNA from 1 species
GAUGAACGCUGGCGGCGUGCCUAAUACAUGCAAGUCGAGCGAACAGACGAGGAGCUUGCUCCUCUGACGUUAGCGGCGGACGGGUGAGUAACACGUGGAUAACCUACCUAUAAGACUGGGAUAACUUCGGGAAACCGGAGCUAAUACCGGAUAAUAUAUUGAACCGCAUGGUUCAAUAGUGAAAGACGGUUUUGCUGUCACUUAUAGAUGGAUCCGCGCCGCAUUAGCUAGUUGGUAAGGUAACGGCUUACCAAGGCAACGAUGCGUAGCCGACCUGAGAGGGUGAUCGGCCACACUGGAACUGAGACACGGUCCAGACUCCUACGGGAGGCAGCAGUAGGGAAUCUUCCGCCCUGGGCGCCCGCCUGCCGGAGCACCGCCGCGUGAGUGAUGAAGGUCUUCGGAUCGUAAAACUCUGUUAUUAGGGAAGAACAAAUGUGUAAGUAACUAUGCCCGUCUUGACGGUACCUCAUCAGAAAGCCACGGCUAACUACGUG